rfam:Chlorocebus sabaeus isolate 1994-021 chromosome 4, whole genome shotgun sequence.
GCCGGGCGAGAUGGCGGGCGCCUGUAGUCCCAGCUACUCGGGAGACUGACGCAGGAGAAUCGCUUGAACCCGGGAGGUGGAGGUUGUGGCCAGCUCAGAUUGCACCACUGCACUCCAGCCUGGGCAACAAGAGCAAAACUCCAUCUCANNNNNNNNNNUGAGAUGGAGUUUUGCUCUUGUUGCCCAGGCUGGAGUGCAGUGGUGCAAUCUGAGCUGGCCACAACCUCCACCUCCCGGGUUCAAGCGAUUCUCCUGCGUCAGU